rnacentral:ncRNA from 2 species
GACAGAGUAGGGACAGCGCGUCAAGUGCCGGCGAAUGGGAAGUUGUCGCCGGACGAAGAAACCUCGGCGUUUCGCGUUGCUGUACCCGCAUCCGCUGCC